CUGGUUGAUCCUGCCAUUAGUCAUAUGCUUGUCUCAAAGCUUAGCAUGCAUGUCUAAGUAUAAACAAGUUUGUACUGUGAAACUGGGAAUGGCUCAUUAAAUCAGUUAUAGUUUAUUUGAUGAUGACUUGCUACAUGGAUAACUGUGGUAAUUCUAGAGCUAAUACAUGCAACUAAAGCCCCGACUUCCGGGAGGGGUGUAUUUAUUAGAUAAAAAACCAACAAAGUUCACCACUCUCUUGGUGAUUCAUAAUAACUGCUUGGAAUCACAUGGCUUCAUGAUUCAAAUAUCAAUAUCUGCCCUGUCAACUUUCAAUGGUAGGAUAAGGCCUACCAUGGUUUCAAUGGGUAAUGGGGAAUAAGGGUUCAAUCUGGAGAGGGAGCCUGAGAAAUGGCUACCACAUCCAAGGAAGGCAGCAGGCGCGCAAAUUACCCAAUCCCGACUCGGGGAGGUAGUGACAAUAAAUAACAAUAUAGGGCUCUUUUGGGUCUUAUAAUUGGAAUGAGUACAAUUUAAAUCUCUUAACGAGGAACGAUUGGAGGGCAAGUCUGGUGCCAGCAGCUGCAGUAAUUCCAGCUCCAAUAGCGUAUAUUAAAGUUGUUGCAGUCAAAAAGCUCAUAGUUGAACCUUGGGCCUGGGCAGGCAGUCCACCAAAAGGCAUCAUACUGUCUGGCUGGUCCUUUCUUCUUGGUGAAUCAGUGUGCCCUUCCCUGGGUGCAUCAGGGAACCAGGACAUUUACCUUGAGAAAAUUAGAGUGUUCAAAGUGGCAUCACACCUGAAUACAUUAGCAUGGAAUAAUGAAAUAGGAUGUGUGGUUCUAUUUCAUUGGUUUCUAGGAUCACCAUAAUGAUUAAUAGGGACAGUUGGGGGCAUUAGUAUUUGGUCACUAGAGGUGAAAUUCUUGGAUUGACCAAAGACUGACUACCACAAAAGCAUUUGCCAAGGAUGUUUUCAUUAAUCAAGAAUGAAGGUUAGGGGAUUGAAAACAAUCAGAUACCAUUGUAGUCUUAACAGUAAAUGAUGCCAACUAGGCAUUGGGCAGCCUCUUUUUGAUGUGUCACUCAGCACCUUAUGAGAAAUCAAAGACUUUGGGUUCUG
rnacentral:ncRNA from 1 species